rnacentral:lncRNA from 10 species
AAAGCUUUCUUGUUUUAGACAGAACAGAUCCUGAUUAAAGAAAGGAAGAUGCAGAGUGCCCUGCACUGAAUUUGUCACCAGCCAGCAGAGGGAGUGUCUGAAGCUUCAGUGCAGGUCAGAGGCUGUAAAACUUGAAGAAAGGAGCCAAGAUCGCCAGAAAUACAGUGGUGGUAUUAUAGCAAACAUGAGAUCCUAAGUCCUUUUUCAAAGCGUGCCUGCUCCCUGCAAGAGGAGGAACAGUGGCCAACCCACUCAAUCAGCUGUUGCCAUGUGGGACCUGUGAAACCUAGCUACCAUGCAAAAAGUCUGACUGACUCGAGAUUACCAUAUUGUGAGGAAGUCCAAGCUAACCACAGGGAGGGGAACUGAGAAACCUAAACAACAGUGAAAACUGAAGUCCGAGAUAGAUGGCCCAAGCUGAGCCAUCAUGGGUGACACUACCAGGGGCCAAGACAGGUUCUCUCUAACAAGCCUGUCCAAGUCACAAAGGCCCCAUGUCUGGAAUGCCAUUGAACUUGAAUUUGCCAGGGGAAGAUUUCUGACUCUCACAAAGGCCACCUGAGCCCUUGCUUGGAGCUACUUGUAUGCUUUUGGCUGAGGACAGUUAUCCCUAUUAUGAGAAGACCAUACUCACCAAUGAAGAUGUACCAUAAUGUGGAGAGAUGCAGGCAGCAGCGGAG